AUUGAACGCUGGCGGCAGGCCUAACACAUGCAAGUCGAGCGGAUGAAGGGAGCUUGCUCCUGGAUUCAGCGGCGGACGGGUGAGUAAUGCCUAGGAAUCUGCCUGGUAGUGGGGGAUAACGUCCGGAAACGGGCGCUAAUACCGCAUACGUCCUGAGGGAGAAAGUGGGGGAUCUUCGGACCUCACGCUAUCAGAUGAGCCUAGGUCGGAUUAGCUAGUUGGUGGGGUAAAGGCCUACCAAGGCGACGAUCCGUAACUGGUCUGAGAGGAUGACCAGUCACACUGGAACUGAGACACGGUCCAGACUCCUACGGGAGGCAGCAGUGGGGAAUAUUGGACGAUGGGCGAAAGCCUGAUCCAGCCAUGCCGCGUGUGUGAAGAAGGUCUUCGGAUUGUAAAGCACUUUAAGUUGGGAGGAAGGGCAGUAAGUUAAUACCUUGCUGUUUUGACGUUACCAACAGAAUAAGCACCGGCUAACUUCGUG
rnacentral:rRNA from 1 species